rnacentral:rRNA from 1 species
GCUUGCGGGAUACACGAGUGGCGCACGGGUGAGUAACGCGUAUGCAACUUACCAUAAACUGGGGAAUAGCCCGGAGAAAUUUGGAUUAAUACCCCAUAAUGUCGUGAAAAUGCAUAUUUGUAGUGAUUGCCGUUCCGACGGUUUAUGAUGGGCAUGCGUGCCAUUAGUGAGUUGGUAAGGUAACGGCUUACCAAGACAACGAUGGCUACGGGGUCUGAGAGGAUGAUCCCCCACACUGGUACUGAGACACGGACCAGACUCCUACGGGAGGCAGCAAUACGGAAUAUUGGGCAAUGGGCGAAAGCCUGACCCAGCCAUGCCGCGUGCAGGAUGACAGCCUUAUGGGUUGUAAACUGCUUUUAUACGGGAAGAAUCUCUCGAACUUGUUCGGGAUUGACGGUACCGUAAGAAUAACGAUCGGCUAACUCCGUGCCAGCAGCCGCGGUAAUACGGAGGAUCCAAGCGUUAUCCGGAUUUAUUGGGUUUAAAGGGUGCGUAGGUUGAAUGAAAAGUCAAUGGUGAAAGCCUGCAGCUUAACUGUAGAAUUGCCAUUGAUACUGUCAUUCUUGAGUACAAUUGAAGUGGGUGGAAUGUGUUAUGUAGC